rnacentral:lncRNA from 1 species
GUUCAUGCAGUAUUUGUUAUCAUGUGAAAUCUCAUAAAUGUUAUCUUGUAAUCAUGGUAUGUUCUGAUUCAUUCAUGGAGUCUGUUAAGGAUCUAUCAGUGGGUAGCGAGCCCCCUGACAUAAUGUACCAUAAGAUCUAUCGGUGGGUAGCGAGCCCCCUGACAUAAUGUACCAUAAGUAAAUAACCAAACCGAGAACACUUU